AACUGGUGUGAUGAUAGUGGGUUAUCAGAAUUUAUUAACAUUAGUGUCACUAAAGUUGAUAUACAACCCUCCACUGCUAAAUUUGACUGGCUUAAA
ensembl:misc_RNA Y_RNA Y RNA